UACGAGAGGCGCAAACGUUAUUCGGAUUUACUGGGCGUAAAGGGCUCGUAGGCGGCCAACUAAGUCAGACGUGAAAUCCCUCGGCUUAACCGGGGAACUGCGUCUGAUACUGGAUGGCUAGAGGUUGGGAGAGGGAUGCGGAAUUCCAGGUGUAGCGGUGAAAUGCGUAGAUAUCUGGAGGAACACCGGUGGCGAAGGCGGAUCUCUGGGCCUUACCUGACGCUCAGGCGCGAAAGCUAGGGGAGCGAACAGG
rnacentral:rRNA from 1 species